UGAACAGCUAUUAUAUGAAAUUAAUAGUAAACGAUGUUCAAGUCAUCAUAGCCAUAAUUUGAAGUCGUAAUUAAUGAUGAACGCCUCCGUGCUCUUCUAGAAUGUGUGAUGCUUAGAUUAAAUAUUUUAAGUAUUUUAUUAUGCUAAGUUAAAUCAUCAAUUGAGCGCAUACUCUCUUAUAUUGAAUAGAAUAAAUUCUUCAUAUUUAUUUUGAACUCAUCACAACGUCUGGUGUGAAAUUAACUCGUCGUUAGUGUAAAACUUUUCUAAUUUUUUGUUUUUUAAUUUUUUUUUAUUAUUAUUUUAGUGGCUAAUUUUUA